rnacentral:rRNA from 1 species
AUUGAACGCUGGCGGCAGGCCUAACACAUGCAAGUCGAGCGAGCGGCGGACGGGUGAGUAAUGUAUGGGGACUGCCCGAUAGAGGGGGAUAACUACUGGAAACGGUGGCUAAUACCGCAUACUGUCGGAUAACCCAUAUGGGAUUGGCUAGUAGGUAAGGUAAUGGCGUACCUAGGCGACGAUCCCGAGCUGGUCUGAGAGGAUGAUAGGCCAAACUGGGACUUGGAGACGGCCAAGAGGCCUAGGGAGGCAGCAGUGGGGAAGAUUGGGCAAUGGGAGCAAGCCUGAAGGAGCCAUGCAGCGUGUAUGAAGAGGGCACGAGGGUUGUAAAGUACUUUCAGUCGGGAGGCGGUACCGACAGAAGAAGCGCCGGCUAACUCCGUGCCAGCAGCCGCGGUAAUAC